AGAGUUGUAUCCUGGCUCAGGAUGAACGCUGGCGGUAUGCUUUACACAUGCAAGUCGUACGAGAGUUUUUAACUCAAGUGGCGGACGGGUGAGUAACACGUAAGAAUUUGCCUUUAGGAGGGGGACAACAACUGGAAACGGUUGCUAAUACCCCAUAUGCCUUCGAGUGAAAUGAAUUUAUUCGCCUAAAGAGAAGCUUGCGGCUGAUUAGCUUGUUGGUAAGGUAAUGGCUUACCAAGGCGACGAUCAGUAUCUGGUUUGAGAGGAUGAUCAGACACACUGGAACUGAGACACGGUCCAGACUCCUACGGGAGGCAGCAGUGGGGAAUUUUCCGCAAUGGGCGAAAGCCUGACGGAGCAAUACCGCGUGAGGGAUGACUGCCUAUGGGUUGUAAACCUCUUUUUUCAGGGAGGAAUAAAAUGACGUGUACCUGAAGAAUAAGCAUCGGCUAACUCCGUGCCAGCAGCCGCGGUAAGACGGAGGAUGCAAGUGUUAUUCGGAAUCACUGGGCGUAAAGCGUCUGUAGGUGGUUUAAUAAGUCAACUGUUAAAUCUUGGGGCCCAACCUCAAAAUCGCAGUCGAAACUAUUAGACUAGAGUAUAGUAGGGGUAAAGGGAAUUUCCAGUGGAGCGGUGAAAUGCGUAGAGAUUGGAAAGAACACCGAUGGCGAAGGCACUUUACUGGGCUAUUACUAACACUCAGAGACGAAAGCUAGGGUAGCAAAUGGGAUUAGAUACCCCAG
rnacentral:rRNA from 1 species